rnacentral:rRNA from 1 species
CCGUUAUAACCGGCGAUUUCCGAAUGGGGAAACCCAGUGUGAUUCGUCACACUAUCAUUAACUGAAUCCAUAGGUUAAUGAGGCGAACCGGGGGAACUGAAACAUCUAAGUACCCCGAGGAAAAGAAAUCAACCGAGAUUCCCCCAGUAGCGGCGAGCGAACGGGGAGCAGCCCAGAGUCUGAAUCAGUGUGUGUGUUAGUGGAAGCGUCUGGAAAGGCGCGCGAUACAGGGUGACAGCCCCGUACACAAAAAUGCACAUGCUGUGAGCUCGAUGAGUAGGGCGGGACACGUGGUAUCCUGUCUGAAUAUGGGGGGACCAUCCUCCAAGGCUAAAUACUCCUGACUGACCGAUAGUGAACCAGUACCGUGAGGGAAAGGCGAAAAGAACCCCGGCGAGGGGAGUGAAAAAGAACCUGAAACCGUGUACGUACAAGCAGUGGGAGCACGCUUAGGCGUGUGACUGCGUACCUUUUGUAUAAUGGGUCAGCGACUUAUAUUCUGUAGCAAGGUUAACCGAAUAGGGGAGCCGAAGGGAAACCGAGUCUUAACUGGGCGUUAAGUUGCAGGGUAUAGACCCGAAACCCGGUGAUCUAGCCAUGGGCAGGUUGAAGGUUGGGUAACACUAACUGGAGGACCGAACCGACUAAUGUUGAAAAAUUAGCGGAUGACUUGUGGCUGGGGGUGAAAGGCCAAUCAAACCGGGAGAUAGCUGGUUCUCCCCGAAAGCUAUUUAGGUAGCGCCUCGUGAAUUCAUCUCCGGGGGUAGAGCACUGUUUCGGCAAGGGGGUCAUCCCGACUUACCAACCCGAUGCAAACUGCGAAUACCGGAGAAUGUUAUCACGGGAGACACACGGCGGGUGCUAACGUCCGUCGUGAAGAGGGAAACAACCCAGACCGCCAGCUAAGGUCCCAAAGUCAUGGUUAAGUGGGAAACGAUGUGGGAAGGCCCAGACAGCCAGGAUGUUGGCUUAGAAGCAGCCAUCAUUUAAAGAAAGCGUAAUAGCUCACUGGUCGAGUCGGCCUGCGCGGAAGAUGUAACGGGGCUAAACCAUG